CGUAUCGGAUAUGCGUGAGCAAUCACGCGAAACUCGCCUGUAAUCCCGGCAUCACCGCGCAAGUGGUGUGGCGACUGACCUUGCUGCUGUGGCAGCGAUUUU
rnacentral:ncRNA from 1 species